rnacentral:lncRNA from 1 species
CACUUUCAAACCAAUUUUGAACCCCACAAUGAUGUCACACAAAAUCCAGGAUCAAAGUCUACCCAAGAGUGAAGCAAAAAAAUCGAAUACCACACAGAUUCAACCUUUUUUUUUAAACUUCAGUUGUUCAGGACCUAUUCGUACCAUAGGAAUUUCCCAAAGUUUUUUAAUGGAACAUUAGCUUUAUUAUUUUUUCUUAGUUGUCACUGAUUUCUCAUUCUUCCAGCCCCCUUCAAAGUCAGAAAAAGUGUCUUUUAUAGGCAAGGCAACACUUAGGAAUCAGACUAUUUCAUUUUAGCUCUUUGUGCAUUUCGUUUUUAGCCUAAAAGUCCCUUAUGUACUGACUUGUUGCUCAAGUUUUACCACCAAACUACUGAAAACCCAUUUUGAACCCCAACUAGAAGGUUCCAAAUCAAUUACACUAAGAUUUCUUGACCUAUACUUCCUACAAUACCCCUGAAAUGUCCUGUUUUUUACCUCUUUUACAAGCUGGACCAAAUAGGAUCAAGUUGACCCAAGGCUAUGUUAAAUUAGGUCUAAUGAACUGGCCAUAAUCUAGCAAAAACUCUACUUAAGAACCUUAAAAUUUCAGCUGACAAUUGGCCUCAAGAGAGAAACCCUCCAAAAUGUCACCACCAACUUGACUGAACAUUAAGAAUUUCAAACGAAUCCAGAUGGAAUUUUUCCAAACAAAACACAAAAACUAAAACACACAUAAUAUGAAUAAGAACAAUAUCCUGAAUAUUACCCAGACUAGCAUGCAAAUGGAGAUUCUAUUAAGAUUAAACACUCACUAAAAUAAAUCGACAGUUAAGCUAUUUGACUUAAUAUAACCAAACCAAGAACAAAAGCCACAAUUUGACUAAGAUCUUAACACUACUAAAUUUAAAUUCAGGUCUGAGAUUCAAACCAACCCAAUAUGAAUUCUGUAAGCUAUCCCUAACCUUAAGCCAAAUUGACAGCAGAAAUAAGGAAGAGGCUAUUCAGAAAAGGGAAAAUAACAACUUAACUUAACUUCUACAUGCACCAUGUCUUGGGUACGCUUCUGAGUCGAUUUGGUGGUGAUGAGAUCAUCAGCCUCCUUCGAAUCUGCAUUUGAGAAGAUUCAGUAGAGUUUGAAGGACGCAAAGUGUAAAUUUGAAGUGAGGGAGAGGCAAGGGUCGUUUGGUAUUGAUUAGGGAUCAUUUGGGCAUAGGCGCCGCUGUGGACAGCGGAGCAGCCGUGAAUUCAAACUAAUAUUUGACAAGAUUGAAGGGGAUUCGAGGGAAGCUAAAGUUAGAUUCGUGAUGAGGAUGGAAAAGGGGUGCUACGAUGUAAUUUUGGGGUUGUUUGGGGUAUCGCCGCCGGCGGAGGCGAUUUCCGGCCGGCGACAGACGACGGAGAAUGGUGGUAUUAGGGUUUUGU